rnacentral:rRNA from 1 species
GACGAACGCUGGCGGCGUGCUUAACACAUGCAAGUCGAACGGAAAGGCCCUGCUUGCAGGGUGCUCGAGUGGCGAACGGGUGAGUAACACGUGGGUGAUCUGCCCCUUAUUUUGGGAUAAGCCUGGGAAACUGGGUCUAAUACUGGAUAGGACCAUGCUGUAGGUGGUGUGGUGGAAAGAUUAGUUUCGGUAAGGGAUGAGCUCGCGGCCUAUCAGCUUGUUGGUGGGGUAAUGGCCUACCAAGGCGUCGACGGGUAGCCGGCCUGAGAGGGUGGACGGCCACAUUGGGACUGGGAUACGGCCCAGACUCCUACGGGAGGCAGCAGUGGGGAAUAGUGCACAAUGGGCGCAAGCCUGAUGCAGCGACGCCGCGUGGGGGAUGACGGCCUUCGGGUUGUAAACUCCUUUCAGCCAUGACGAAGCCCUUGUGGUGACGGUAGUGGUAGAAGAAGCACCGGCUAACUACGUG